GACGAACGCUGGCGGCGUGCUUAACACAUGCAAGUCGAGCGGUAAGGCUCCUUCGGGGGUACACGAGCGGCGAACGGGUGAGUAACACGUGAGUAAUCUGCCCCUCACUUCGGGAUAAGCCUCGGAAACGAGGUCUAAUACCGGAUACGACCACUUCCUGCAUGGGAUGGUGGUGGAAAGUUUUUUCGGUGGGGGAUGUGCUCGCGGCCUAUCAGCUUGUUGGUGGGGUAAUGGCCUACCAAGGCUUCGACGGGUAGCCGGCCUGAGAGGGUGACCGGCCCCGCUGGGACUGAGACACGGCCCAGACUCCUACGGGAGGCAGCAGUGGGGAAUAUUGGACAAUGGGCGGAAGCCUGAUCCAGCAACGCCGCGUGAGGGAUGACGGCCUUCGGGUUGUAAACCUCUUUCAGCGGGGACGAAGCGCAAGUGACGGUACCCGCAGAAGAAGCACCGGCCAACUACGUGCCAGCAGCCGCAGUAACAC
rnacentral:rRNA from 1 species